AGGUGAAAGAUGGAGAUAAACCAACCGUCUGCGUCGUCUUUAAUUGGUUUUUGCCCUUGUAAAUAGUUAUAAUAGAGAAAUGUGUUUCUCGCACGGUCGAAACCGACAUCUGACGCUUCUAUUACUAAUUAAGUGUUCUGACAAAGCCAAAUCGUCAGCUAUGCUUGUGUUUACAGUCUGUGUCUUUAGGACAAAGUUUCUCUUGAACAUGCUGUUUUAAUGGCCUAACUCAUCUAAUUCCCAUAUACACUUGUACAGUCUGUUGUGAACAGCCCGUGCUUUCUAUACCUUAUCGUGUUGCUUAGCAUUGCACACAUGUUACCAGAUCUCAGUGUUGUCAAACGUUAACUUUGCAAAAAUCUUGGAAAAAAAAAAUCAGCCUGAUUUCAUUUAUGCCAAGAAGGGAUACUUGAUACUGAAACAUCUUUAUUACCAUGUUUCCAGAAAUUUCAGAUCUGACAUACGAAUGUACUACGAUGUCAAGUGACUUCUUACAACUUCACUAGCAAGAAAUAAACGCUUUCUAUUCACUUAAUUGUUAAGCAUUUAUUUAGCUCGUAUGUGUGUAGUCCAAAUACUCUCAACAGAAUCAGUUUUUAGGUUGACCUUUCAAAACUUUGCGUGAUUAUUUAUUUGAACAAUAUUGCAAAAGUCUUCAUAUAAGCAACAUAAAUUCUAAUAAGGCAAUAUACUAAAAUUUCCCACCAUAUUUUUUAUAAAAUAAUGUUUGUAAAUUAUAAGGGAAUUUGCUAAAACACUUUUUAUCACACAAGAGAACAUGAUAGAAACUGUAAAUGGUAUUAAAUAUUUGGUUUUCAGAUACUUUAAAGGGUCUGAGUAAAUAACACAUGUUCUUUUGUUACCUGAAGUAAACUGUGGUGUGCCAAAUUUGUAUUUCAAUUUAUUCUCCAGAGGUGCAGGCUCAAGUUUAAAUACCAGUGUUGUAGUGGUAGCAUUUUCAUAGUAGUGGUAGCGUUUUCAAGAAGGUAUUCUAUGUCAGUAGACAAACAUAACAGUCACCACCAAAUGAAAUGCUCUGUUAUGGCUUUGUUGCAGAAUGAAGCUAGAACAGGAGUCUGGACAGACGAGAUACCCAUCUUUCAAAUUAAAAUGCUGAGCAUUAAAGAGAACUACAGUUCUGUUUGAGGGAUCUCCUUGGCUUAUGACCCAACUCCAGGAAAAGGCAAGUGCAAAGCAUCCAAAGCCAUACCCCUCUCUAGCACAGCAGUGCUGGGGCGCU
ensembl:lncRNA